GUUUUGUAGUUUUCUUUGUAUAGAUCUUUCACCUCUUUCGUUAAGUUGAUUCCCAAAUAUCUUUUUUUUUUUUUGAGGUUAUUGUGAAUGGGGUAGUUUUCCUCAUUUCCUUCUCAGAAGUAUUGUUCUCCUGUCUCUGUUCUCAAGUUCUCCUGUCUCUGGAAACCCCUAUUUUCUCUGAUUUCCUACUCUGAGGGCAUGCCCACCCUUCUAGAUGAUCAGAGGUCUUUUCACACCUCACUGUUACAGCCUCCAGGAGACCUGGUUUUCCCCUCGUCUCCCUGUGUCCACGCAGUGCUGCCUUUGUGCUAGUGCCUUAGUGGGCCUUGUCUUUGAGCCUCCAGUGGCCUUGCAUAUGGUGGAGGAACCAGGGUUGACUUACAAGGAGCCCCAGAAGGGCAAGGGGCAAGCAGGGGUGAGGCUAGCCACCACCCUUAGAAGAGCUCCUGGGAAGAGUGGUUGGGUGUCAUACACACCAAGUCCCAGGUGGGAACCUUUGAAAUUGUAACCGGAAGCUCAGUCCUCAUCCUCAAUGUCAAUCCAAUAACAAAGACAAAGUCUUGAGAAAAAUGAAGAUGUUUUAUUGCUUUGCUUGCAAAAGAGAAACCCAAGGGACUCCUGUCCCAGAGCCAGUGAUUCUGCCCAUCAUGGGAAAUAGGAGUUUUUUAAAGAGGUAAUUCAGAGAAAAAUGAGACUAGGGAAGAGAGAUCAAGGAGGAUAAAGGUCAGGGAAAAGAAGUUUUGGAAAAAGAAUAAAACAUAAGUUUCAAGGCAACAAGGGAUAUAGUCAAAGCACUAACUGAACCCCUGUUACAAAAUGACAUUGCAUUCAGUCCUCACCGCCAUUUGCAGGGAAGGUUAUCUUGCACACCCCACCUCUGGGUGAGGCAGAGAAGGGAGCCGUGGGUGGGGCAGAGAUGGGAGGUUGGUUGUUGAUGGUGAACUGAGCAAUAGAGCAGAGCAAAUGGAGGCAGGAAGCAGGUGGCCUCGGACUCCUGCUGACCUGCAUGCCUGGUGGCAGGUGGUGUAUGAAGAGAGCUGUAUGGGUAGCCUGAUGGCCUCCUAUGUGACAGGCCUUUCUGGCCUUCCUCGAGUUGCCCUUUCUGGUGGAUUUGGGACAGUUGCUAUAGGAGAAGGAGCCAGGACUCAUGCCCCAGACAGGUACUUCCUCCCAGGGGCAGGAAGUGGACCCUCUGCUUUUGCCUGGGGGAGGGAAGGCCCCCUGAAAGCCACUACUACUCAUAGUCAGAAAAGAAGAGGGUUUUCUGAAAGCUGGACCCCUGUGGCAGUUCCCCUUUUUUCUGCCCCACAAGCCCAACCUGAGGAGUGAGGGUCAGCUUAGCUGAUGUGAUUCCCUGUGGCUUUGUAGGUCGUGUUUCUGGGUGAAAAUGGGGGUGUUCCACCACUGAGAUAAUCUUGCUCUCCCCAAAGGAAAGGUCAGAGUGGACACUGGGAGAGACCAGAAGAGGGCGUGUCUGACCCCAUGUAAGAGCUUCUGCUGCCAUCCAGGCUUUGAUGGCUCCUUUCUGGACUCAUUUUCAUCAUCGGCAGUGAGACCACAGGACAGAUCCCCCACCCAGAGGAGAGCCCCCCUUUCACCCCACCUUUACUACCUACCCCUUCUCUUGCCCACAGUACCGUACACUGGCCCAUCUCCAGGACCAUGGUCCAGUGCCAACCUGGCCACUGUGAAAAGUCACAGGGCCUGAGCUCAGGGAGCCCCCUCACCACCGUCCCUGAGCUGGACAGUCUGUCCUCUGUCCAUAAUCAGACAGGAGAGCCACUUCCUGCAGAUGCAGGGACCUUGGCCCAGGAGGGUGCUGAGGUUGAUGGUCAUCCUGGCCACUGCCCUUGGACCUCAUGGCCCCAAAGCCAAAGGGUAAACUCAUGUUGACCUGGAUGCUAGUCCUGGGACCCGCCGGCUGCUCCUGGGCAUGGGCACCCAGGCCAUGGGAACAUAUGCAUAGACUUGAGGGCAGCAGCAAAGGGGAGAGGAAGAGGGAAAUUGCCAGAAAAUGAAAGAAAGAACAGGGUGACGUGGUGUGAGCAUGCUGAUUAGGCUGCUGGGCCUGCCCCAACCUCACCCAUGAAGUCAGGGCUCAGAGGUUCCUGGAGUCUGGGCCCUGAGUGCUCUGCUGGUCUGUAGAUGGUGAGAUUCUGUUCAUCCCUCAUCCUGGGCCCACCUCCAGGCUGCAUGGCUUAGUGCUGCCCAACCCCACUGCCCCAGUUCACCCUCCUCUGCCCACUGCCAAGCUUUGGGGUGGCCUGCUACAUUGGUGUCCUCACAAAGCUGCCCUGCACUGGAGUGGCCAAGAAACUCCUGCAGGUAGACAUGCUGGAGAAGAGUGCCCUGCACAAGGAGAAGGUAGGGAGGCCUGGACAGCCUGGGCCCAGCCAGCAGGUGCCUGGAAUGGUCCUGGGGAUGGGAAGGACGGGUCAGCUACCUCCCGCAUACGUCUGUAUCCCUGGAUCCUGGCCUGGAGUAAAGCACACCUGGUGUUCUCUGGUGCCUCUCUCCGUGUAGCCCUGGGUGGUACAUCCCAGCUUGUGGCUUGCAACCCCUGGGGCCCCUGACUCCUCCCUGUGCUGUGAUUGCCUCUUCCAUCUCCACCUCUGUGCUGCUGCCACACUCAUGUAGAUUAUUGUAGGGUAUGUCCCCCAGUCACCCCCAUGCCAUCCCAGGUGCCAGGCUUUGGACCACUGCUCCUGCCUGUGACUGCAUCCACACCCUUUCUCACCCCUGCAUCUCCCUCUUCUGGCCCUGCAGCAUGCACAGGGGAGGUGACAUUAACACUUUGGCUCUUCUAUUGCACAGCACAUUCUGAGAGCAAAGACCCCAUCUGUCCUUUCCUCCAGCAGAGGCACCUGUGUGGAGCACUCACUCCAUAAACAUCUGUGGAGGACAUGGCGGUCCAGACCCUACCCAGGCCAAUGUGACCCACACUGGGCCCAUCCUCUCCCCUCCGGUGGAAAGUAUGGAGGUGACACACAUGUCCAAGUUCCCAGUAGGGAGGAAGCAGAAAGAAGCUAGUAGCUAAGUCCUCGUCACAGUCUGCUGCCAGGGUGGCCCUGUGUGCCCUGACCCACUCCUCUACUUACCAGUUCUGUGGUCCCAGAUUCAGCUCCUGCAGGCUGAGGGAGAUGCAUCCUCUGACGGGAGGGUCUAGAACUGUCCUGGGAAUGAUGACUAGCCUGGGCCUUCACCCUACUCUGCCAGGUCAGAGGCACUGCAUGCACUUGCACGUGUGCACCCCAGACCCUCUGAUGCCAGCACUCGCCCACCCUGCCCAGAGACAGGCACCGGGAAGGAGCCUAAGGGCUGGGAGUCCAAGAACUCCCUGCUACCACCAAGGACCUCAUCAGAGCCUCCAGUCCCUGUGGCUGGCCUGGACCUGGGGGCAUGUGUUCCUGCAGCUCUGACCUCCUUUCCAUGCUGUAGGCCCUGAAGAGCCAUAGCCUCAGCAACAAGCCUCUCUACAUCUCCAUGGGCCACAAGAUGAGCCUGGAGGCAGCCAUGUGCCUGAUCUGAUGCUGCUGCAGGUUCUGGAUCCCAGAGUCCUUGUGCCAAGCGGGGUUCAGCACAUGCUCCUCCACUUCUCACCAUUUGUCAGCUGAGCUGGAGUCACAGAGCAGUGGUUUGAGGACAAGAUGGCCCUGGGCUGAGGGCAAGUCCAUGAGCCCUUGCUGGGGAACCUGGUGUGGACAUAUUGGGCCCUGGAGGCAGGAGGGUAGAUAGGAGGAGGCAGAGUUCCUAGGAUUCUACCUGAGAUUUCCUGCCUGUGCCUCAGAAGCUACUUAGCCUAACACUCAGCUUCGCCCUUACUUGAGCCUCCUGCACCUGGGUACCAGGUUGUCUGGAGGAUCAUUUGAUGUCAGCUCUAAUGGCAGAGUGCUCCACCAGCAGCCCUCAGCUGGAGGCCCUUGCUGGACACUGGGGGCAAGUGCUGAGGAAGGCUCGUGCUGGCAUCAGGAACUCCAGGGUGUGGCUAUGCCAGGUACCCAGCACCUAAACUGGUGCUCAGGGGUCAGGGGAUCAGCUCUCUGAUGAGCCAGUGGGCUCAGCUGAGAAGGAACUCAGCCUGCAGCUGAGCACACAUGGCCCACAGCUCACCUUCCUAGUCAUGACGAGGGGACACCAGUCCCAUACUAGCAUGUGUUCCACAGAAGCUGUAAGGUGAAAUCCCAAGAGAAGCCAUCCUCAGGAAGAGAGAAAUCCGGCUCAGGAACAGUAUUUGCAAAAGCCUCAGGGCAAAGAGGACAUUGAUGUUUUGAACAUGGUUUUUGUUUAUGUGGCUCAAAUAUAAACCCAUGUUAAAAAAUACUGAAGACUCACCUAUGUUUCAUCCCCACUAAUCUUUAACCAUUGCCCUUCAUGAACAACUGAUUUAAUUGUUUCUAGUAUAUAUUCUUACUUUUUUCUUUUUUUGGUAGGAGGCAUUAACAAUAAUAAAUUACUAUGUAAAUUUCUUUCUUACCCAAAAUAGAGUGCUCCUGUAUAUCCUUUCUGCCCCUUAUUAUUCACUCAAUGAAACAACCUGGAAAACACUCCACAUAUGUAAAAAUCUUAACUUUCCAUGAUAUAGAUAGACAAAAGUUGGAACUAAACAAAUGAUGGACAUUUGGACUAUUUCUGAAUUUCAUUUCUUAACAAUAUUUCUGUAUUGAAUAGCUCUGGGAAUCUAUUUUAUAUUCUUGAAAAUGUACAUUCAAUGUUCAGUCCUGCAAGAAAUAUUGCUUUAUCAAUGGCUAUUUUUUUAUAUAUUUUCAAAUAAUAAAGCCCAAUUCACUGGAGGGUUGCAACAUUUUUCUUUCUCCCAGCAGGUAUACAAGUUCAUGCUUUCUGUAGAUGCCCCGUAUACAGAGGCCACAUUUUGGAUAUUCUGUGCACUAUCACAAUGUGCUUGUAAUUUAUUUUUUUUUCUGAGAGAACCAUUUCCUAUUUCUGUUAUUUUUUUCUUUUUACAUAUGAUUGAUACCAUGUCAUGGUUACAGAAGAAAACAGCAGUGUCCUACCCUAAAUAAACCCAUGGCUUGGUGAGAGUUCAAUGCUGAAAACAAUAACUUCUUCCCAGUACAAUGAUCACCAAGAACAAAAUGCAUUUUGGUAGUUUGUGUCUUCCAACAAAUUGAUCUAUGUAAUCCAAGUCCUUAUACCUAUGGACUGAGAAUUUUAAGUAUUGUUUAUUUAUUUUAAUGUUCAUGUAUUAAUAGUGAUAACAUCAUUUAUUUUUUAGUUAGAUUUUUGUCUAUUUAUUGACUUUUAGAAAGACCUGAGGACAUGAGCCUUAGAGAAAAGACUUCCUGGAACACCCCCAAUAUUGAAAAUAAAUGCCUUAGAAAGUAAUGCAUCGGUACAAUUGUUCAGCAUACAGUAAUAAAUGUAAGAACAUGUUAGGUCUCACUGAUGAUGGCAGUAGAAGAGAACGAGAAUGAAGCAUUCAUGAACAUGUAGAAUACCCACAAGGAACAAGGAAUCACAGGCUCUGAUGUGAGAAUUGAUGGUUGAACUAUGCCAAGCAGGAGCUUCUGGGGCUGAGGGUGGUGUCAUAGAGAACACUCAGCGGGCAGGUGGUACAAAUGGAGAAGCACCCCCCAAAAAACUGAUGAAAGUAGAUUAUUAAUUUUUAUUUGACGUCAUCUCCAAAAUUAUGAGACAAAAACAUCUGUAAAUAUGAACCCCAUAAUUAUCAGCAUCCCUAGAUGUAUUAGAGCCAAGAUACCAAUGGUAAAGAUCUUGGGCUAGAUCUUGUGCUAGAAAAGGAAUGUGAAGUUUCAGAAGAAAAUUCUGGUGUUAGCUGAAAUCUCAAAACAAACUUCAGAGGAAAUGUUUCUUUUACUAAUAAAAUAAUAUUGUUUGUU